rnacentral:rRNA from 1 species
AUACGGAGGGUGCAAGCGUUAUCCGGAAUCAUUGGGUUUAAAGGGUCCGUAGGCGGAUAAUUAAGUCAGGGGUGAAAUCCCACAGCUCAACUGUGGCACUGCCUUUGAUACUGGUUAUCUUGAGUUAUAGGGAAGUAGAUAGAAUAUGUAGUGUAGCGGUGAAAUGCAUAGAUAUUACAUAGAAUACCGAUUGCGAAGGCAGUCUACUAUCUGUAUACUGACGCUAAGGGACGAAAGCGUGGGGAGCGAACAGGAUUAGAAACCCCUGUAGUCC